AUUGAACGCUGGCGGCAUGCUUUACACAUGCAAGUCGAACGGUAACAGGCCUUCGGGUGCUGACGAGUGGCGAACGGGUGAGUAAUGCAUCGGAACAUACCCAGUCGUGGGGGAUAACGUAGCGAAAGUUACGCUAAUACCGCAUACGUCCUGAGGGAAAAAAGCGGGGGAUCGCAAGACCUCGCGCGAUUGGAGUGGCCGAUGUCAGAUUAGCUAGUUGGUGGGGUAAAGGCCCACCAAGGCGACGAUCUGUAGCGGGUCUGAGAGGAUGAUCCGCCACACUGGGACUGAGACACGGCCCAGACUCCUACGGGAGGCAGCAGUGGGGAAUUUUGGACAAUGGGGGAAACCCUGAUCCAGCCAUGCCGCGUGCGGGAAGAAGGCCUCGGUUGUAA
rnacentral:rRNA from 1 species